AGCGAACGCUGGCGGCAGGCCUAACACAUGCAAGUCGAGCGCCGUAGCAAUACGGAGCGGCAGACGGGAGAGUAACACGUGGGAACGUGCCCUUCAGUUCGGAACAACCCAGGGAAACUUGGGCUAAUACCGGAUACGUCCGUAAGGAGAAAGAUUUAUCGCUGAAGGAUAGGCGCGCGUCUGAUUAGCUUGUUGGAGAGGUAACGGCUCACCAAGGCGACGAUCAGUAGCUGGUCUGAGAGGAUGACCAGCCUCACUGGGACUGAGACACGGCCCGGACUCCUACGGGAGGCAGCAGUGGGGAAUAUUGGACAAUGGGCGCAAGCCUAAUCCAGCCAUGACGCGUGGAUGAUGAAGGCCCUAGGGUUGUAAAGUCCUUUCGGCGGUGAAGAUAAUGACGGUACCCGCAGAAGAAGCCCCGGCUAGCUACGUGCCAGCCGCCGCUGUAACAC
rnacentral:rRNA from 1 species